rnacentral:rRNA from 1 species
GAUGAACGCUAGCUACAGGCUUAACACAUGCAAGUCGAGGGGUAACAAGAGAAAAGCUUGCUUUUCUUGUUGACGACCGGCGCACGGGUGAGUAACGCGUAUCCAACCUGCCUAUAACUAGGGAAUAACCUUGCGAAAGUAAGACUAAUACCCUAUGAUUUCCUUUGAUGACAUCAGAUUAGGAAUAAAGAUUUAUCGGUUAUAGAUGGGGAUGCGUCUGAUUAGCUUGUUGGCGGGGUAACGGCCCACCAAGGCAACGAUCAGUAGGGGUUCUGAGAGGAAGGUCCCCCACAUUGGAACUGAGACACGGUCCAAACUCCUACGGGAGGCAGCAGUGAGGAAUAUUGGUCAAUGGGCGGAAGCCUGAACCAGCCAAGUAGCGUGCAGGAUGACGGCCCUAUGGGUUGUAAACUGCUUUUAUACAGGAAUAAAGUUAGCCACGUGUGGUUAUUUGUAGGUACUGUAUGAAUAGGGACCGGCUAAUUCCGUGCCAGCAGCCGCGGUAACAC